UACAGAGGGUGCGAGCGUUGUCCGGAAUCACUGGGCGUAAAGGGCGCGUAGGCGGUUUGCUAAGCGUGCGGUGAAAGCCCGGGGCUCAACCCCGGGUCGGCCGUGCGAACUGGUGGACUGGAGCUUGUCAGAGGCAGGCGGAAUUCCGGGUGUAGCGGUGGAAUGCGUAGAGAUCCGGAAGAACACCGGUGGCGAAGGCGGCCUGCUGGGACAGUGCUGACGCUGAAGCGCGACAGCGUGGGGAGCAAACAGG
rnacentral:rRNA from 1 species